GAUGAAGGAAUGACUAGUACACAGUGAAGGGGGUUAAGGGGGAGGGCAGCUGUUCGGUCUUUCCCGGAAUGAGGGCUACCGUGCGAGGUAUCCGAGGUGGUUUGAAGGCCCUACCACGGGAAAAACGUGCCCUAGACAGCUGUCCUCUGCCGGAUCAGCUACUCUACUCAAGAGGCCAUAGUCCUUUUCUCGGGCCCUAGAAGUUUUUUUAGAGGCCGAGCUGGUCUGUGGGCUGCUGGUGAGGGGGCGGGACAGGAAGAGGUGGGCGACCAGAGAAUUGCAUUUCCUUGUGCGUCUCCACUCCCUGCCCUCAGGUUAUCGAUUCAGCUCCUACUAAAGCAGCACACACCCACAUGGGCUGGCGCAAUACACACACAUUUGUUUGGCCGCGGACUCACACAUGAACAAGAAAUACACAUGUACGUAAUGCACUUGAUCCUCCGAGCUCUACAAAUAAAAAGGUUUUUGCGUUUUUGGCUUGUUUGCGGUUGUUCGUUUUACACCCUUUUCUCUCCCUCAGCUCACACAUUAGAGCCCACACAGAUAUGAUACAUGCACACACACACCUCUACAUGCCUCUUCACUCAGACAGCUCAUACAAAGGGACAGCGCAACAUUAUGACUCACACAGCCUAAUUAUCUAAAUCAGAGAAAAGGUGUUGGAUCAAAUCAGGACAGGGUCUAUUUAUAAUUCCAGGCCCAUUUAUAUUUCUCGCAAAAUGUCUUGCAUGCAUUUAAUCAUUUCCAGAGAACCGAAGCACAUUUUUGUUCAUGCCGUUUACCAAACAUGGUCAGCAAGGCAGGUUUGGUAUAUGGUAAAUAUUGCGUAACUGUUUGAAGUGACAAAGAGAUAAUUGCAUAUUUGUGUGUUCGCCUGAAUGACAAUGCAAGUGGGUGAAUCUCACAAAACUAGAGCUGAAACAACUAAUCGAUUUAAUCGAUUAAAAUCGAUUAUUAAAAUAGUUGUCAACUAAUUUAGUAAUCGAUUCGUUGCUAAAUAAUUUUUAUUUGCCGUAAGCGGCUCAUUUCGUGCAUAUUUUAAAUCUGCGGUGACCAAAGUGUGGCAGUAAUGAGCCACCGGAGGUUUUACUCAGCCAGUACAGCAGGAGAAGUAGC
rnacentral:lncRNA from 12 species